GACGUAGGGCGCGAGCGUUGUCCGGAUUUAUUGGGCGUAAAGAGCUCGUAGGCGGCUUGUUGCGUCGACUGUGAAAACCCGCGGCUUAACCGCGGGCUUGCAGUUGAUACGGGCAGGCUAGAGUUCGGUAGGGGAGACUGGAAUUCCCGGUGUAGAGGUGAAAUUCGUAGAUAUCGGGAGGAACACCGGUGGCGAAGGCGGCGACCUGGGUAGAUACUGACGCUGAGGUGCGAAAGCGUGGGGAGCAAACAGG
rnacentral:rRNA from 1 species